AUAUGUUGCCCACAAACGACCGCACGACCUCUCCCCUCCUCCCCGCACGACCUCUCUCGCCCCCUUCUCCUCGCACGUCUCUCGCCCCCUCCUCCCGCGCCGUUCGCCGCCCCGCCGUUCCUCCCGCACCCUUGCGCUGCCAUUAGCCACAGGAUCCGCCCUGUCGCGCGUGGAGACGCCUCCAGCAGCUGCCGCCGAUGCCGUAACCUCCCCCUGCCUCUACCCCAGGCGCGAGGAACCUACCUCCCGAAGCAACCGGAGCGGCAAAGCGGCGGAUGAAUGGAGAGAUGGCGUCUGUGGCGGCGGGGAAGGAGAUGGCGCGGGCGUCCUACAUCCGGAUCAAGCACGAGGAGGAGCGGCGAGGGCCCGAGGGCCGGGUCUUCUCGGCCACACGCGCGCCGAUGUCGCCGCACGUCGACCAGAUCCUCGCCGGGCGCGCCUCCUUCGCCGACCUUGCUGCACAGCACUCCGGCUGCUCCUUCGCCCGCCGCGGCGGCAACCUAGGUAUGCCUCCACUUGCCCCACCUACGCGCUUAGCAGGCUUUCAUAUAGGGUCUCCGAUCAUGGCGAACCGGAAGCACCAGCCCACGAAGAGCUCGACAGCGUGAGGUCCUCUCCAGCCAGCAGUAGGUGACCAGGCCGAGAUCCACCACCGAGCCAAGCACUUCUCCGUUCUUUUUCUUCCUCUGUUACACAACCAAAACAAUUUUCUUGAGAACAAUCGUAUCUCCAGCCAGCAGUACAUGAACCUACAGCACAAAUAAUGGAGGAGCGAGCGACUACAAUAGAGGAUGGACCUGUGGUUGCUUUCCAGCUCUUUUCUUCAAAACAGUCUGAGAAAGAGUGCAAAGGAAAUUGGACCAUAGGCAUAGGCAACGGGAAAUUGCUCAGGAAUAUCCCCAUCUUAUGCUUAUUGCUUUGAUAUAGAGUGACCUAUAAAAGGUUCAAAACAACCAGUGAGAUGCUUCUCUGGAUGUAGAGCUCAUUGACAUACGCCUAAAAAAAUAAAAUUAUAUUUUUUACACUAUUAUUCUCAAUUGUAUGGUUGAACAUUCAUUACCUUGUGGUUCGUACUUGGUCCCAGCCUCCCAAGCUUAAAUCCGAAGUUGUUCUGUAUAGGGGAGUGAAUUGUAUGAGUGUGUUUCCAGGCUUAAAUCUGAAAUUGUUGUGUAUACCAUAUGUGCAUGCGGUGCGUAUGGUAGAACCAAUUGAUUUGCAGAAGAUGACAUGAACCAGAAGGGUAAUCAGUGCCGCCAACGGAAGGCUCGGCAGUGCUGAUCACCAGAGCUAGACUACUGGCAGUGCCAUCCAAAUCCUCGGUGACGCUCAAGGGUGACCAUAGUAGCAUAUAUUCAGCCCAAAUACAGUGCUGUCAUCAAACGCCGUCUGCAAUUUUCUAGCUCCAGGAAUUUCGACCGUCCUACAAGAAGAAUUAGUUGAGAAGGUCGGUCUAUGCUUCUUCAAAGGCUGAGUAUAUACUCUUUGUUGUUAAUAGUAGUGAUAGUUACUAUUAUUGAAUUGCUAAGGUGACAAACUGACAGUUACUGCUUCAUGAGCUUACUCUCAGGUAAUACCAAUAAUCUCAAGAUUUACUGUCAUGUUGAAUGUUACUUCUGUACCAAAUAAGGCCUCUGAAAUAUGUUAAAGUAUCUUCCAGUUUGCACAAGUUAGCCUACAUAGGAUGACACUCAAAACUGUAUUGAAAAACCUAUGUGUUCUUAUGUUUUAGAUCAUGACACCGUGGUAAAUUAAGCUUUAAUGAAUUCAAAUGUAGGUUCUGAAGAAUGAAUUGAGAAUCGUGCUACCUUCCGGAUCCACACAUAUUUUGCCUGAACACAUUUAUUCAGAUGUUUGUUUCUUCACAAUACUUUAGCUCUGUAGAUUAUGAUGCUUCAGCUAUUCUGCAAGCCUGCAAUUGUUGAACACGAGAAUAAAAUGGGUUUAAUCAAAUAAAAGGUGCGAGGUACUCCCUCCGUCCGAAAAUACUUGUCAUCAAAAUGGAUAAAAGAGGAUGUAUCUAGAUGUAUUUUAGUUCUAGAUACAUCUCCUUUUCUCCAUUUUGAUGACAAGUAUUUUCGGACGGAGGGAGUAUGUAUGUUCCACCAAGUCCAACAUUUGCAGGCAACAACAAAUAACACAAUACUCCAGAGUAUAUCUUAAUGCAGCUGGUGUAGGGGUUAUUGAUAGGAUUAUCAGCUACUCCAGUGUUGUCAUGUUUCUUGCUUCUUACAUAUUUCUCCUUUUGAUUGUUUUUAUGUUUGAUCAAAAAGUUUCAUACCGAAUAUUAAGAAAUUUGUUUACAUCUACGGUUGUGAUUGCAUCUGCUUGCAGAACGGUCAAUUUUACAUUAUCUAUAGAAGGCUGUGUACAUGAGAGGCGUGGCAUGCUAUUGGAAAUUAUAACAUACUGUAUAUGGCUUCUAAGCAAUUUGAAAGUUUAGGACACAAUAGGAAGUCAUAUUACGACGGUUUCCGAUUAUUGACAAAUCUCUAUUUUUCGAGGGCAGCAAAAUUAUUUUCUAGAACUGAUAGUUUCUUCAGCAAUUUUUUAGUUUGCUUCCUGUUACUCUAUAACUGAAUAUGAAUAUGUAGUUAGCUUAUUUUUCUUUUAUGUGAUAUGUGAGUAAAUAGCAGUUAGCUGCAUGGUUUACUAUGAUUUCAAGCUCAACUUUUGUGUUAUCUAGCUGCAGUGCUAGGACUGGUUGUUGCCCAAAGAGAUGAUAUGACCAUCAGUUUAUGGUCUUUUUGAGCUUGAUGUCUUCUGUAUUGGAGAAAUGAAGUCUUCGGCAUGUACACGGUGUAAACAAUCAUUGGAAAAGGCGAGAUGAAGAUAAGAGGAGCAUAUAGAAGUUUCUGAUUUGUAUAGGAGGCCUUGUUGAUGAGACUCAGAAUGGAUGCAUAAUGGUCCUGGCUACUGGCGAGCUUGAAGCAAGUGGUGCGUGUUGUGACUCCCAUUGUGGCGCUGUAGUCAACUCCAUCAGUUCAAAUUUUGAAGAUAACAUGUAGCCUGAAUCCAAGAGGGAACAAAUUCAGUUGUUCCAAGACUGCGUUCUGUUUUGCAUAUUUUGUUGACAGUUUGCAUCUCUGCCAUGUUCAUCUUGGAUUAUGAUUUCUUUUUCAUCUGCUCCCACUUAUAUAUGUAUUAUAAGUCCUUCGAAGUACACAGAAUAAAUCAGACAUUCUGAAAUCUUUAGUAUACAACUGCAAUUUCAUCUUGGAUUAUGAUUUCUUUUUCGUCUGCUCCAACUUUGCAUACAUCCUCAGAAGAUAAAUGUGGGGUUCGUAUUGAACUUCACCUUUAGAGAUGCAGGGAUUAUCAGCACUACAGAAUUCAAUACACAUGAAUUUAAUGUGUUGAUUUGGUUGAGACGUGCAUUGCAC